rnacentral:rRNA from 1 species
AGUGAACGCUGGCGGCAGGCCUAACACAUGCAAGUCGAACGGCAGCACAGUAAGAGCUUGCUCUUACGGGUGGCGAGUGGCGGACGGGUGAGGCAUACAUCGGAAUCUACUUUUUCGUGGGGGAUAACGUAGGGAAACUUACACUAAUACCGCAUACGACCUACGGGUGAAAGCAGGGGAUCUUCGGACCUUGCGCGAUUGAAUGAGCCGAUGUCGGAUUAGCUAGUUGGCGGGGUAAAGGCCCACCAAGGCGACGAUCCGUAGCUGGUCUGAGAGGAUGAUCGGCCACACUGGAACUGAGACACGGUCCAGACUCCUACGGGAGGCAGCAGUGGGGAAUAUUGGACAAUGGGCGCAAGCCUGAUCCAGCCAUACCGCGUGAGUGAAGAAGGCCUUCGGGUUGUAAAGCCCUUUUGUUGGGAAAGAAAAGCAGCAGGUUAAUACCCCGCUGUUCUGACGGUACCCAAAGAAUAAGCACCGGCUAACUUCGUG